rnacentral:lncRNA from 1 species
CCAGGCUAGACGAGGCUAUGUGAGAGAUGGAAACAGAUCUGGGACCAGGCUAGAUGAGGCUAUGUGAGAGAUGGGAACAGAUCUGGGACCAGGCUAGACGAGGCUAUGUGAGAGAUGGAAACAGAUCUGGGACCAGGCUAGACGAGGCUAUGUGAGAGAUGGAAACAGAUCUGGGACAAGGCUAGACGAGGCUAUGUGAGAGAUGGAAACAGAUCUGGGACCAGGCUAGACGAGGCUAUGUGAGAGAUGGAAACAGAUCUGGGACCAGGCUAGACGAGGC